CGCCGCAGGAUGGGUCUGCGGCCGAUUAGGUAGUUGUUGGGGUAAUGGCCCAACAAGCCUGUAAUCGGUACGGGUUGUGGGAGCAAGAGCCCGGAGAUGGAUUCUGAGACAUGAAUCCAGGCCCUACGGGGCGCAGCAGGCGCGAAAACUUUACAAUGCGGGAAACCGUGAUAAGGGAACCCCGAGUGCCCGUAGAAUCGGGCUGUUGAUCUGUGUAAAAAGCAGGUAAAGAAAGGGCCGGGCAAGACCGGUGCCAGCCGCCGCGGUAAUACCGGCGGCUCGAGUGGUGGCCACUAUUACUGGGCUUAAAGCGUUCGUAGCUGGGUUGUUAAGUCUCUUGGGAAAUCCACCGGCUCAACCGAUGGGCGACCAGGGGAAACUGGCAUUCUAGGGACCGGGAGAGGUGAGAGGUACUCCAGGGGUAGGGGUGAAAUCUUGUAAUCCUUGAAGGACCACCAGUGGCGAAGGCGUCUCACCGGAACGGACCUGACGGCAAGGGACGAAAGCUAGGGGCACGAACCGGAUUAGAUACCCGGGUAGUCCUAGCCGUAAACGAUACUCGCUAGGUGUCGGCCACGGUGCGACCGUUGUCGGUGCCGUAGGGAAGCCGUGAAGCGAGCCACCUGGGAAGUACGGCCGCAAGGCUGAAACUUAAAGGAAUUGGCGGGGGAGCACCACAACGGGUGGAGCUUGCGGUUUAAUUGGAUUCAACGCCGGAAAUCUUACCGGGACCGACAGCAAUAUGAAGGCCAGGCUGAAGACUUUGCCGGAUUAGCUGAGAGGUGGUGCAUGGCCGUCGUCAGUUCGUACUGUGAAGCAUCCUGUUAAGUCAGGUAACGAGCGAGACCCAAAUC
rnacentral:rRNA from 1 species